CCUACGGGUUGCAGCAGUGGGGAAUAUUGCACAAUGGGCGCAAGCCUGAUGCAGCCAUGCCGCGUGUAUGAAGAAGGCCCUAGGGUUGUAAAGUACUUUCAGUCGGGAGGAAGGCGUUGAUGCUAAUAUCAUCAACGAUUGACGUUACCGACAGAAGAAGCACCGGCUAACUCCGUGCCAGCAGCCGCGGUAAUACGGAGGGUGCAAGCGUUAAUCGGAAUUACUGGGCGUAAAGCGCACGCAGGCGGUUGAUUAAGUUAGAUGUGAAAUCCCCGGGCUCAACCUGGGAACUGCAUUCGAAACUGGCAGGCUAGAGUCUUGUAGAGGGGGGUAGAAUUCCAGGUGUAGCGGUGAAAUGCGUAGAGAUCUGGAGGAAUACCGGUGGCGAAGGCGGCCCCCUGGACAAAGACUGACGCUCAGGUGCGAAAGCGUGGGGAGCAAACAGGAUUAGAUACCCCAGUAGUC
rnacentral:rRNA from 1 species